rnacentral:misc_RNA from 1 species
GUCUGCCAGAAAUUGAUGAAGAGGUAUGAAAAGUGAUGUAAUUAAACAAAGAUGCCAAGUAUGUUCUUCAAAAUUUUCAUGUCUACAGUUUAUGGACAGACAAAUAAAAAUUUUUCGUUUUAGCUGUAUGUAUAGCAUUGACAUAUGUGUUAUAAGAGUGUGCCAUCAUGCAAUGAUGGGUUUUUAAAUCCAUUGUGGCAUCUUG